UCGCUCGCCAAUAACUACGAGUGAAAACUUAAAAUUUAAAGGACUUGACGGUACUUCACACUCAGCCUAGAGGAGCCUGUCUACUAACCGAUAAUCCACGAUCAACCCAACCACUUCAAGCCACUCAGUCUAUAUACCGCCGUCGCAAGCCUACCUUGUAAAAGAAACAAAGUACGCCUAAUAGCACACACUAAUACGACAGGUCAAGGUGUAACUAAUGAAAUGGUCAAAGAUGGGCUACAUUAUCUAAUACAGAAUAUACGAAUAAGAUUAUGAAAUUAAUCUUUAAAGGCGGAUUUAGCAGUAAGCUGAGAACAUGCUACUCAACUGAAAUCAAUGCAAUGAAGUGCGUACACACCGCCCGUCAUCCCUGUAACAAAACAUAACCUAAACAUAUAAAGUUAACAAGACCAAAAACAGGGCAAGUCGUAACA
rnacentral:rRNA from 1 species